rnacentral:rRNA from 1 species
UACGUAGGGGGCAAGCGUUGUCCGGAUUUAUUGGGCGUAAAGAGCUCGUAGGCGGUUCCGUAAGUCGAGUGUGAAAAAUCUGGGCUCAACCCAGUGGAGCACUCGAUACUGCGGUGACUAGAGUACGGUAGAGGAGUGUGGAAUUCCUGGUGUAGCGGUGAAAUGCGCAGAUAUCAGGAGGAACACCAGCGGCGAAGGCGGCGCUCUGGGCCGGUACUGACACUGAGGAGCGAAAGCGUGGGUAGCAAACAGG